UUGAGCUAAAAAUACCUCACAUUCUCCACUGGUGUUGCCGAGCCAUACCUUCUGCAGACUUCAAAGCACAGCAUUCUGCCUUGGAGAAAAAGGAAGCUGAGUUUCAGGUCUCCCAAAGCGAAAGAGGAGCAACUGUUAAAGAAAGCCUAUGGUGAGGAAGGUGGAGAUGACAUUGAUUUUGAUUGCCAUCAGCUUAGUUCUGAUGAAUCACUCGGGUGACACAAAACCGAUGAAGAUUCUUCUGCAAAUCGUUCUUCAAUUUCUGAAUUUGGGGACGACAAUUUCUCCAUUGGCAGCUUGGAACA